GAUGAAGAACGUAGCGAAAUGCGAAAAGUAAUGUGAAUUGCAGAAUUCAGUGAAUCAUCGAAUCUUUGAACGCACAUUGCGCCCGCUGGUACUCCGGCGGGCUCGCCUGUCCGAGCGUCAUUUCAACCCUCAAGCCCUCCUUCGGGAUGGGCCUGGUGUUGGGGCUCGGCCGCCAUCUCCGGCGGCCGUCCCCUAAAUACAGUGGCGGUCACGUCGCGACUCCUUUGCGUAGUAGAAACACCUCGCUCCGGAUAGCAACGCGGUCCACGCCGUAAAACCCCCAAUUUUCAAUGGUUGACCUCGGAUCAGGUGGGAAUACCCGCUGAACUUAAGCAUAUCAAUAAGCGGAGGA
rnacentral:misc_RNA from 1 species